rnacentral:rRNA from 1 species
GACGAACGCUGGCGGCGUGCCUAAUACAUGCAAGUUGAGCGCUGAAGGUUGGUACUUGUACCAACUGGAUGAGCAGCGAACGGGUGAGUAACGCGUGGGGAAUCUGCCUUUGAGCGGGGGACAACAUUUGGAAACGAAUGCUAAUACCGCAUAAAAACUUUAAACACAAGUUUUAAGUUUGAAAGAUGCAAUUGCAUCACUCAAAGAUGAUCCCGCGUUGUAUUAGCUAGUCGGUGAGGUAAAGGCUCACCAAGGCGAUGAUACAUAGCCGACCUGAGAGGGUGAUCGGCCACAUUGGGACUGAGACACGGCCCAAACUCCUACAGGAGGCAGCAGGAGGGAAUCUUCGGCAAGGGGCGAAAGUCUGACCGAGCAACGCCGCGUGAGUGAAGAAGGUUGUCGGAUCGGAAAACUCUGUUGGUAGGGAAGAACGUUGGUGAGAGUGGAAAGCUCAUCAAGUGACGGUAACUACCCAGAAAGGGACGGCUAACUACGUG